ensembl:lncRNA
AUGCCACGUGGAAAGGGUUUCCGUCGGUCUUUGGCGGCCAAGAGGAGGAAUGCUGAGCGUUAUACGCUCAGUUCCUUCUUGGACUUAGAAGAGGUUGUGCCUCCUCUCCAAAAAAAGGCAGUUUCUAACAGCUCUUUACAAGAGAGUGUUGACAUUGAAAACUCAAUGAAAUCUGACACAAAGAACUCUCAAAAUUGUCACAAGGCUUUCAAAAAUGUUUCAAACUCUGUUACAAGUGUUACCGCAAAUGUUCCAAAGUCUGCCACAAGUGUUGCCAAAAAUGUUCCCAAGUCUGUCACAAGUGUUGCCAAAAAUGUUCCAAAGUCUGCCACAAGUGUUCCAAUGUCUAACAAAAGCUGGAGUGAUGUUACCAGAGCUUCAGUUGUCAAUAACUCUGGUUAUUUCCCACAGAAAGUCAUACGUGGUUCUUUCCAUCAGGGUGAUGCGCGAUUUGGUUUGAACAGAAACCGUCAGUGUGCAGUGAACAGUAUCACAGCAGUCAUGACGAGUGUGCUUAAGGAUGUGCUGACAUGGACAACAGAGGACCUGAAUGCUGUUCUGUUGCAUGGAAAUGAGCUGUACACAUCAAUGAGACUGCAGGGGCAGAUCCACGAUCUAACAGGGCUGGGUCACAUUUCUGUUGCAGAAAUGCCAAGACUGCACACACUUCAUAACACAACAUUCUCAAUAAAGCAUGGAGAAUCUUUCUGUGGUGUUAUUGGUGUUGAUCUCUAUGAUGAAUCAUUGCGAGAUGUGUCUAUGUCUAUAGAAGAAGCACUUCAGAGGGCUCUGCUUCAGUGUGAUGCAUGUUUGUUAAACAUUAAAGAAUACAUUUGUGCAGUCAUAAAGGCAGGGCCAAUAUUUGCUCUAGUGGAUCCCCAUUCACGUAAUGGUAAAGGUUUACCUGAACCUAAUGGAAGAAGCAUAAUAGUUUACUGUGAUGACAUAUACAUGUUGUUUAGUCAUGUUGGUAACCUUGCCUUCUCACUGAAUGCCCAGGGAACACCUUUUGAAGUGACGUCUGUGAAAGCAACGGUAAUUGGUAAGACCACAACUAUGGAGGCAAGUUCCAAGUCUGGUCAAGAAAGCAGCGGCAAUGUUUCACAUGCAACCACAGAGAAGGAAAGUAAGUGCAUCGGA